AAAAAGAAAAAAAAAGAAAAAAUUAGAAUAAAGCCUAUAUGGUCUGAACUGUAUCUGUAUAGACAUGCAUAUUGCAUCAAGUGUCUCGUUAGACUUUUUAUCUCUAAGGGGUAUCUGUUCCCCUUGCUCUUCAUGGUAUAUAUUUCCCCCACCUCUAUCUGGUCUGAAAAGACGUAUGAGAACCGCUCUUAGUAGAUGACGACAUGUCUUCUGACGAGAGUCGUAUCGCACUAUCUUUAUGGGUCCCCCGUGGCUAAAUAAUAUCGUGACUAUAGACUAUCUGUUAGGACCACUAUGGUUGGUACGUUCGUGGUCAUAGAUCGUACCAUGGUUUGGCCAGUCGGAAGUGGGCCUGAGUAAAUUGCCGUAUCUGUAUUUAAUCUAGUCAUUCCACUUGGAUAGUUGGAAAUCUAUAUCUGUAUCUGCCCUCAGAAAUGAAAGUCUGUAACGACUUCGUGAAGUAUGACACGAAAAAUCUGUACAUUUCAUAAUUUAUUUGAUUUUCUGUGCUAAUGUACUAUUUUGAUAUUCAAAUAAAUAUUUUUCCAAUGAUGAGUUAGGUAAACGAGGAAGCUGAACGGUGAGAAAAAUAAUAAACUUUUCAAAUCUUAUGAUGUUAAUUUAAUAUUGUUUUUCUUAUUAAACAUAUGAAACUCAUUCUUUCUAUCCCCCCUAAAUGAGGAAGAAAAUGAGGAACUGCAGGCAAACCUACCAUUAGAAGUCUAUGAAGAUCCCAUAGAUCCACAAAUCUAAGUGCAUGUCUGUUUCCGUACUCUGAUGAAUUACAGUAGCCUA
rnacentral:lncRNA from 1 species